rnacentral:rRNA from 1 species
AGGAAUGCUACCUGGUUGAUCCUGCCAGUGU